rnacentral:rRNA from 1 species
AAUGGGUCAGCGACUUAUAUUCUGUAGCAAGGUUAACCGUAUAGGGGAGCCGUAGGGAAACCGAGUCUUAACCGGGCGUUAAGUUGCAGGGUAUAGACCCGAAACCCGGUGAUCUAGCCAUGGGCAGGUUGAAGGUUGGGUAACACUAACUGGAGGACCGAACCGACUAAUGUUGAAAAAUUAGCGGAUGACCUGUGGCUGGGGGUGAAAGGCCAAUCAAACCGGGAGAUAGCUGGUUCUCCCCGAAAGCUAUUUAGGUAGCGCCUCGUGAAUUCAUCUCCGGGGGUAGAGCACUGUUUCGGCUAGGGGGCCAUCCCGGCUUACCAACCCGAUGCAAACUGCGAAUACCGGAGAAUGUUAUCACGGGAGACACACGGCGGGUGCUAACGUCCGUCGUGAAGAGGGAAACAACCCAGACCGCCAGCUAAGGUCCCAAAGUCAUGGUUAAGUGGGAAACGAUGUGGGAAGGCCCAGACAGCCAGGAUGUUGGCUUAGAAGCAGCCAUCAUUUAAAGAAAGCGUAAUAGCUCACUGGUCGAGUCGGCCUGCGCGGAAGAUGUAACGGGGCUAAACCAUGCACCGAAGCUGCGGCAGCGAACGUAUCACCCAAGACAACUUUACGGAGUUGACGAUUGACGGAGCGAAGCGACGUCAAAGCGUUCAUUAAAGUCGAGUUGGCUUAGGGAUACGUUCGUUGGGUAGGGGAGCGUUCUGUAAGCCUGUGAAGGUGUGUCGUGAGGCAUGCUGGAGGUAUCAGAAGUGCGAAUGCUGACAUAAGUAACGAUAAAGCGGGUGAAAAGCCCGCUCGCCGGAAGACCAAGGGUUCCUGUCCAACGUUAAUCGGGGCAGGGUGAGUCGACCCCUAAGGCGAGGCCGAAAGGCGUAGUCGAUGGGAAACGGGUUAAUAUUCCCGUACUUGGUGUUACUGCGAAGGGGGGACGGAGAAGGCUAUGUUGGCCGGGCGACGGUUGUCCCGGUUUAAGCGUGUAGGUGUGUGUUCCAGGUAAAUCCGGUUCACUUUAACACUGAGGCGUGACGACGAGGCACUACGGUGCUGAAGCAACAAAUGCCCUGCUUCCAGGAAAAGCCUCUAAGCAUCAGGUAACAC